rnacentral:rRNA from 1 species
GACGAACCGUGCGAACGUUAUUCGGAAUCACUGGGCUUAAAGCGCGUGUAGGCGGCCGGCACGUCGGCCGCUGAAAGCCCCCGGCUCAACCGGGGAAGCGGCGCCGAUACGACCGGCCUGGAGGGGGUAGGGGAGCCGGAACUCACGGUGGAGCGGUGAAAUGCGUUGAGAUCGUGAGGAACGCCCGGUGGCGAAAGCGGGCUCCUGGCCCCGCCUGACGCUGAGACGACGAAAGCCA